GCAAGUCGAACGGCAGCGCGAGGAGCUUGCUCCUUGGCGGCGAGUGGCGGACGGGUGAGUAACGCGUAGGAACCUACCUGAUAGAGGGGGAUAACUCGGGGAAACUCGGGCUAAUACCGCAUAAUCUCUACGGAGCAAAGCGGGGGAUCUUCGGACCUCGUGCUAUCAGAUGGGCCUGCGUUGGAUUAGCUUGUUGGUGGGGUAAAGGCCUACCAAGGCGACGAUCCAUAGCUGGUCUGAGAGGACGAUC
rnacentral:rRNA from 1 species